UUGAACGCUGGCGGCAGGCCUAACACAUGCAAGUCGAACGGUAACAGGAAGCAGCUUGCUGCUUUGCUGACGAGUGGCGGACGGGUGAGUAAUGUCUGGGAAACUGCCUGAUGGAGGGGGAUAACUACUGGAAACGGUAGCUAAUACCGCAUAACGUCGCAAGACCAAAGAGGGGGACCUUAGGGCCUCUUGCCAUCGGAUGUGCCCAGAUGGGAUUAGCUAGUAGGUGGGGUAACGGCUCACCUAGGCGACGAUCCCUAGCUGGUCUGAGAGGAUGACCAGCCACACUGGAACUGAGACACGGUCCAGACUCCUACGGGAGGCAGCAGUGGGGAAUAUUGCACAAUGGGCGCAAGCCUGAUGCAGCCAUGCCGCGUGUAUGAAGAAGGCCUUCGGGUUGUAAAGUACUUUCAGCGGGGAGGAAGGGAGUAAAGUUAAUACCUUUGCUCAUUGACGUUACCCGCAGAAGAAGCACCGGCUAACUCCGUGCCAGCAGCCGCGGUAAUACGGAGGGUGCAAGCGUUAAUCGGAAUUACUGGGCGUAAAGCGCACGCAGGCGGUUUGUUAAGUCAGAUGUGAAAUCCCCGGGCUCAACCUGGGAACUGCAUCUGAUACUGGCAAGCUUGAGUCUCGUAGAGGGGGGUAGAAUUCCAGGUGUAGCGGUGAAAUGCGUAGAGAUCUGGAGGAAUACCGGUGGCGAAGGCGGCCCCCUGGACGAAGACUGACGCUCAGGCGCGAAAGCGUGGGGAGCAAACAGGAUUAGAUACCCUGGUAGUCCACGCCGUAAACGAUGUCGACUUGGAGGUUGUGCCCUUGAGGCGUGGCUUCCGGAGCUAACGCGUUAAGUCGACCGCCUGGGGAGUACGGCCGCAAGGUUAAAACUCAAAUGAAUUGACGGGGGCCCGCACAAGCGGUGGAGCAUGUGGUUUAAUUCGAUGCAACGCGAAGAACCUUACCUGGUCUUGACAUCCACGGAAGUUUUCAGAGAUGAGAAUGUGCCUUCGGGAACCGUGAGACAGGUGCUGCAUGGCUGUCGUCAGCUCGUGUUGUGAAAUGUUGGGUUAAGUCCCGCAACGAGCGCAACCCUUAUCCUUUGUUGCCAGCGGUCCGGCCGGGAACUCAAAGGAGACUGCCAGUGAUAAACUGGAGGAAGGUGGGGAUGACGUCAAGUCAUCAUGGCCCUUACGACCAGGGCUACACACGUGCUACAAUGGCGCAUACAAAGAGAAGCGACCUCGCGAGAGCAAGCGGACCUCAUAAAGUGCGUCGUAGUCCGGAUUGGAGUCUGCAACUCGACUCCAUGAAGUCGGAAUCGCUAGUAAUCGUGGAUCAGAAUGCCACGGUGAAUACGUUCCCGGGCCUUGUACACACCGCCCGUCACACCAUGGGAGUGGGUUGCAAAAGAAGUAGGUAGCUUAACCUUCGGGAGGGCGCUUACCACUUUGUGAUUCAUGACUGGGGUG
rnacentral:rRNA from 1 species